GAUGAACGCUGGCGGCGUGCCUAAUACAUGCAAGUCGAGCGAACAGACGAGGAGCUUGCUCCUCUGACGUUAGCGGCGGACGGGUGAGUAACACGUGGAUAACCUACCUAUAAGACUGGGAUAACUUCGGGAAACCGGAGCUAAUACCGGAUAAUAUAUUGAACCGCAUGGUUCAAUAGUGAAAGACGGUUUUGCUGUCACUUAUAGAUGGAUCCGCGCCGCAUUAGCUAGUUGGUAAGGUAACGGCUUACCAAGGCAACGAUGCGUAGCCGACCUGAGAGGGUGAUCGGCCACACUGGAACUGAGACACGGUCCAGACUCCUACGGGAGGCAGCAGUAGGGAAUCUUCCGCAAUGGGCGAAAGCUUGACGGAGCAACGCCGCGUGAGUGAUGAAGGUCUUCGGAUCGUAAAACUCUGUUAUUAGGGAAGAACAAAUGUGUAAGUAACUAUGCACGUCUUGACGGUACCAAAUCAGAAAGCCACGGCUAACCACGUG
rnacentral:rRNA from 1 species